GCUGGGCAUGGUGGCACGUGCCUGUAAUCCCAGCUACUGGGAGGCUGGGGCAGGAGAAUCGCUUGAACCCGGGAGGUGGAGGUUGCAGUGAGCUGAGAUCACGCCACUGCAAUCCAGCCUGGGUGACAGGGAGAGACUCUGUCUCAG
rnacentral:SRP_RNA from 1 species